GUGCUCACUUCGGCAGCACAUAUGCUAAAAUUGGAACAGUACAGAGAGUAGCAUGGGCCUUGUGCAAGGAUGACAUGCAAAUUUGUGAAGCUUUCCAUAUUUUU